rfam:Phytophthora infestans T30-4 supercont1.10 genomic scaffold, whole genome shotgun sequence.
ACUCGUCUAGCUCAGUCGGUAGAGCGCUGGCCUUUUAACCAGUGGUCGUGGGUUCGAGCCCCACGGGGGGUG